rnacentral:rRNA from 1 species
CGGGUGAGUAACACGUGGAUAACCUACCUAUAAGACUGGGAUAACUUCGGGAAACCGGAGCUAAUACCGGAUAAUAUUUUGAACCGCAUGGUUCAAAAGUGAAAGACGGUCUUGCUGUCACUUAUAGAUGUAUCCGCGCUGCAUUAGCUAGUUGGUAAGGUAACGGCUUACCAAGGCAACGAUGCAUAGCCGACCUGAGAGGGUGAUCGGCCACACUGGAACUGAGACACGGUCCAG